rnacentral:rRNA from 1 species
AACGAACGCUGGCGGCAUGCCUAACACAUGCCAGUCGAACGAGACCUUCGGGUCUAGUGGCGCACGGGUGCGUAACGCGUGGGAACCUGCCCUUAGGUUCGGAAUAACUCCCCGAAAGGGGUGCUAAUACCGGAUAAUGUCUUCGGACCAAAGAUUUAUCGCCUUUGGAUGGGCCUGCGUUGGAUUAGCUAGUUGGUAGGGUAAAAGCCUACCAAGGCGACGAUCCAUAGCUGGUCUGAGAGGAUGAUCAGCCACACUGGGACUGAGACACGGCCCAGACUCCUACGGGAGGCAGCAGUGGGGAAUAUUGGACAAUGGGCGAAAGCCUGAUCCAGCAAUGCCGCGUGAGUGAUGAAGGCCUUAGGGCUGUAAAGCUCUUUUACCCGGGAUGAUAAUGACAGUACCGGGAGAAUAAGCUCCGGCUAACUCCGUG